UAACUCCGUUCUAUCACCAGAGGGCGUAAUUCAACCAACAGCUCCAUCUACAGCUGAGCGGCCCUCAACUCCUGUAGUUGAUGGAUGGAAUCCUGAGGCAGGACCCCAAAGAUUAGCAUGCCCUGUACUUGAGCAGGCAGGAGGGCAACGAAUUCACCGUGCUUUAGAUUUCAAAACAGUGAAGCAAUUAAAGGAGGCUGUAACAACCUAUGGGCCGCAAGCACCCNUUCAAACUACCUUAUAACAACCCAUUAUUUUGCCAGAUCUGACAUAGUGUCUCUGCUCUCUCUCUCUCUCUCUCUCUCUCUCUCUCUUUCUUUCUACUUUUUUUGCACAUCUCUACUUAUAAAUGAGAUGGAAUUCAUGAGUUGAAAAUAAAAAUCAAUUACAUUAUCAAUCAAAUUUGUUGUGAUUAUUUUCUUGCAAUGAAAUCUGGGCAAGUCAUAUAACUUAAGAAAUUCACUGAUGCCUUCAAUAUCUUCUAUUUUAUUGGAAUAUAAGUUUUCAAGUUUUCAAAAUAAUUUAUAAUAAACAUCUGUAUUUCUGUAUUGUCUGUUGUGAUAUUACCUUUUUCAUCAUGUAUGCUGGUAAUUUGAGUUCUCUCUCUCCUUCUGUUCAUUAGAGUAGCCAAGGGUCUGUCAAUUUUAUUUAUUUUUUCAAAGAACCACCUUUUUGUGUUUUCAAUUGUUUCUUUUGUUUUGAUUUAAUUGAUUUCAGCUCUAAUUUUAUUUUAUUUUAUUUUUGCCUUCCACUGCUUCUGCUGUUGGUUUGUUCUUUUUCUAGGGAUUUGAGAUGCAAAGUGAGGUCAUUUAUUUGUUGACUUUUUCUUCUCUUAAGGAAUGAAAUCCAUGCAAUAAACUUUCCUCUUAGAAUUGCUUUUAUGGUGUCCCAGUGAUUUUGAUAUGUUGUGUAUAUGUUCUCAUUUGCCUCUAAGAAUUUUUAAAUCUCUUCAUUGAUGUCUUCUGCAACCCAUCUUCAUUCAGUAGCAUAUUGUUUAGUCUCCAGGUGUUGAAAUAAAUUUUAUUUUUUUUUCAUUUUGUCAUUGAUUUUCAAUUUCACUCAAUUAUGAUCUCAUAAACUACAUGGUAGUAUCUCUACUUUUUUGUACUAUGUUUUGUGGCAUAAUACAUCGUCUAUUUUAGAGAACGAUUCAUGUGCUGCUGAGAAGAAAGUGUAUCCACAUAAUGAAGGUUGAACUAUUCUAUAUAUGUCAGUUAAGCCUAAGUUAUUGAUUACAUUAUUGAGUUCUAUAAAUUCUUUUUAGAGGGGGGAGAGAGAGAGAGAGAGAGAGAGAGAGAGAGAGAGAGAGAGAGAGAGAAUUUUUUAAUAUUUAUUUUUUAGUUUUCGGCAGACAUAACAUCUCUGUUUGUAUGUGGUGCUGAGGAUCGAACCCACCACCACACACAUGCCAGUCAAGCGUGCUACCACUUGAGCCACAUCCCCAGCCCUAUAUAGAUUCUUUAUUCAACUUUUGUUUGGAAGAUCUAUUCAGUGAUGAGAGAGUUGUGUUAAAGUCACCCAAGAUUAUUGUGUUGUGAUUAAUUUGACUCUUGACCUUGAGAAGAAUUUGUUUGAUGAAUAUAGCUAUACCUUUGUUUGGGGCAUAUAUAUUUAUGAUUGUUAUGUCUAGUGGGUGUAUGGUUCCCUUGAGCAGUAUGUAAUGUCCAUCUUUUAAUUAACUUUGGCUUGAUGACUUGGUCUGGGAGAGGUGGGAUAAGUUCAGAAUUUGAGACGGCACCACCAAGGCCUGUUCUGGACUCCGUGUGGGGACCUGGUGAGAACCCGGCAUGGUUGCAGAACCUACCCAUCACCCACCCACCCUGGGCAGCCAAGUGGGAGUGAUUAUUCCAAAAUGCCCUGAAAUCCAGACUCAAUACUGCCCCACCUGCAGGCCCCAGGCAUGAAGAGGUUUGCCUCUUUCAAUGUACUUUGUUGACAUCAGAACCUACCUUGGGUCAUUGGGACUGUUAAAAGUAUCCUGGCUUUAUUUGUUUAUUUUUUACUCCUUACCCCAUUAAUGAAUAUUAAGGGGAAAUUUUUUUCUCACUGGUUCUAAAGGAAGAAAUCCCUGCUCUAUAAAAAGACUGAGGCACGUAUAUACAUGGAUGUCAAAACGGAUAUUUAGAAAUAUCUAAGUUGUUACCAUUACAUAGAAAGUUCACUUUUGGGAAAUGUAGUGGUUGUGUAAUUCCUACCAGGAGACAUGUGGUUUUCAGGGUGAAUUUCUUCCUAUUUGCUGUUUGCUUUGAAGCAAACUAGAGGCAAGGCCUUUGUAAAGGCUCUUAGAUAACCUUCAGGUUCAAAAUUCCAAAUAGAUGAGCAAUCUCUACAUUCAAAAUCAAAUGUAGUAUUUGAAGUUAACUGCAGUUUAUGUAGGUUACAAGAAUAGCUCUUGAAAGUAAAUGCACAAUGCAAUGAUUCCAUGGUGUAGUUUUCUAAUAAGUUAUUGUUGGGCCUACUUGACUGGAAGUUUUCUGCUUAAAAUUGAAUACCACUUGUGCAUUCAGAAACAAAUUACAGAUAUGUAAAAAAGCAAAUGUAAUAAAAAGUGAUAAAAAUCAUGCUGAUAUACAUAUUUAAAUAUAAAUUUUGACACAUUAAGAAAACGUAUAUUUCUUAUUAUUGGUUUUAAUAUACUGUGUUUAAUAAUUUAUCCAUUUCCUUUUCUCUUAUGUCAAGGUGAAUUUUCUUAGGUGUAUUACGCAGGUUUAUGCACAGAAAUAGAACUUGCAUACAGGCAUAGAGAGAUUGCUUCAUUGUGAGGAAAUGGCUCACACAUUUAUGGAGGUUGAGAAGUCACAUGAUCUUUUAUAUGCAAGAAGGACAUUCUGAAAAUCUGGUGCUAUAAUUCAGCCUGAGUUUGAAAACCUGAAAACCAGAGGAGUCAUUAAUGUAAAUCAUAGUCCAAGGUAAAGAGAACUAUAAUGAGGUGUCUCAGCUUUGGCAAGUAAGCAAGAAAUGGUAAAACCUCCCAUCAUUUGCUUUUUGUUCUAUGCAGUCUGUCAGUUGGGUGGAUAAUUCUCCUUCAUUUUGAGAAGGGAAAUCUACGUUACUGACUCCACUGAGUGAAGUUGACACAUAAAGAAAACUUAGUAUUAUUAGUAAAGGAAACUGAAUUAAUGACACACCUCAGAUUAUUCCCUUGUUACAUUCCAGAAGUAAAUCCCCUGGUUAUGCUUUUUUAUAAUUAUGACUAGAUUUUAUGCAAUUCUUUUAGCUCUUCUUUAUCACCAAGAAGAAACAAUAAAAAUAAAAUGAAUUUUAUAAAUUGAUAAAAAAAAAGCUACAUGUUAAAUCUCAGUAUAAAAAGCUACAUGUUAUAUCUAAAAAAUGCAGGGCAGUGCAGAGAAUGCACAAGAAUCAGGGAUAAUGAGGAGUUUUGCAUAACUGAAUUUUAAAUUACUCUUUCUAAAAUGUAUAAAUUGUUUUAUCCAGUUGUAUAGAGAAGCUGAAAAGAGAGGAAAUCUUCACAUCAUACAAAUUAAGGACACCAUGUUUUAGAAAUGGUAAUUUUAUUUUGAUACUAAUAUUUUUGAUGCCUGAAGAGAGUUAAAGGCAUAAUUUCUGUAGCUAUUUUGAAAUAAAAAUUAAAUUCAAAGAUGUUGGUCUUAUAUUUGACUCAGUAUUUAAAUUUUCACAUUUUCAAAAAUUUUCCAUAUCUGUGGCAAAAAAAUAAUAAAAUAAAUAAAUAACAAAUAAAUGAAAAUAAAUAAGUAAAUAACAAAUACAUAAAAAUUUAUUUGUUCUGCAGAUUAACUCUUUAUGCCCACAAUUGUAUUCGAUGUUACAGCCAAAAUCAUCGUUUCUGCUAUAACUUCACAGUUUCCAGUAAUGUCAGUUCUUCACAGAAUGACUUUUCUUAGAAGUUUAACUUAUUAUUCUGUUUACAGACAGAUCCACAGUUUUUUUUUUUUCUUACUCUGUGUCUGAAAGAUUCAACUGCCACAUCUUCCUGUAUUGAGAGUUGAGAAGUGUUAAUGUUGGAUGUGAUCUUCAAGGUGCCUCCUGGAUCACUUCAACAUCAGAAUGCUUUCUUGCCUAGGGUUUUCAGACUUUUACGAUGGGCAGAUAUUACUGGGAGAUGGAAGUGGGAGACUCUUGGAACUGGGCUUUUGGAGUCUGUAAUGAUUAUUGGAAAGGGAACAAAGAUGACAAGAUGGAUGAGGUGAAGGGCUCUUCCUCUUUGGAUGUGUUAAGGAGGGUUCCCAUUACACUCUCUUUACCACCUCUCUACUGGUUUUUCAGUAAGUACUAAGGCCAUUGGCUGAAUAAGAGUAUUCCUAGAUUGUGAAGGUAGAACUGUGAUCUCUACUAAUGUUUCUCAAAGUUUUUUGAUAUACAGUAUUUCUUCCUAUUCUUUCUCUCCCCAUAUCAAAGCUUUUUUCUGCUGUAGUCACUUCUGACCAGACAUACAUAAGGACUGUGCCGCUAACACUAUGGAAAAUCCAAUAUCUAAAGAAGCCCUCUCCCUUGGGCCUUAUGAAACAUGUCAAACAGAAUAUAUCUUUUUAAGUUUAGGUUACCUCAAAUUUUGUAACAACCUACUUAAUCUGUUAUUAAUUGUGGUGAUAAUAUUAAAAUCACAUAAAGUUUUAAAAUUUAUGCAUUUUUAAUUAAUUUAUUUGGGGAAUAUAAUCACCUAUGAUACAUGAAGUAGGACAUAUUUUCUGAUUUUAUUUGUGAAAUGUAACAAAAUAAAGGAAUAGAUAAUUUUUGAUUUAAUAAAGGUACAAUUCAAUGUAAGAGAAUGUGUCUCUUUCUUUUCUGUGUUGGUCCAUUUUCUGUUCUUUUAAUAUAAUACCUGAAUCUUGGUAAAUUAUAAAGAAAAGAUUCAUUUAUCUCACAGUUCUGAAGACAGGUAAGUUCUAGGUUAUGAUGCCUGAAUUUUUGGUGUGGGUUUCAUGCUGAAUCUGCUCAUAGCAGAGAAGCAGUAGGAGAAAUUGUCCAGUGAAGAAAAUCUGAACACAUAUGUGACACCCUUCAUAACAACCCACUUUCUAAAAAAUGACUCAUUUUCCAAGGGCCCAGAAUUUACUCCUUCAUUCAGGCUCAGUCCAAGGAGAAAGGCACUAAUUCUUUUUAAUGACUUAAAGACCUCAUCUCAAAAUACUACUGCUCUAUGGAAUAAUAUUUCAACUUGAGUUUUGUUGGGAAAAAUCCACAUUUAAACCAUAGUACUAUAUAGCCACUCUGUCUAUAAUUCAGAGUCUGAGAGGUUGUAUCUACUUGAUUUCUUCCUUUGGGAAGAAAUUUAGCAAAUGCGAACAUUUGAGGUCCCUGGAAAUGAGGUGCUUCCCUCAUCUAUCACUCUGAUAAUCUGAGGAAGAAAUAGGGCCUCCUUGACAGCCUAAUGCCUUUGUAGCAGAGGAAAUCUCAGGGCAGUGACUUCUAUACAUUUUUCUUUAUAGCCCAGGAUUCUUGUAUUAUAAACCAAAACUCAUGCUUCCAUACCAUACCAAACAAUAUGUUAUUUUUUGAAGUCUCAUUGUUUUUACAUCCUAAAAUCAUAAUUAGUAACUAUUGGACAAAAUCAUCUUUGCUACAAAUCUGUGUAAAAGGGAGGUUCCAGGAAAGUCUACCAAAGCUAGAAAGAAUCAAUAGAGGCUUCAGGGUGACAAAUUUUCACUGCCACACAGAAUGGGGUGUGGGGAAUGUGGCCAUCUUUGCUCUUGCAGUUCAUGCUGUGUAUGUGGCAUUACUUAAGAAGUAGCCCCAAGGAAGAGUCGUGGGUCUCUUUUGGGAAAGCAUGAGAUUGAUGUGACAAAAAUAAAAACAAAAUUAUUUUUCUUUCUUUCUUUCUUUCCUUCUUUUUUCUUUCUUUCUCUCCUUUUUUUUUUUUUUUAAAGAAAUGGAACGCAGGGACACUUUACCACUGAACCACAUCUUCAGCCCUUUUAAAUAUUUUAAUUAGAGGUAGAGUCUUUCUGUAUUGCUUAGGGCCUCACUAAAUUGCUGAGGCUUCAUUUGGACUUCUGAUACUCUUGCCUCAGCCUCAGGAACUGGGAUUACAGGUGUGGGCCACCUCAUCUGGUGAGGAAAACCAAAUUUCUAAACUUAAUCCCUCUCCACCUGGGAGAAUAAAACUAAACAAAAGUCAGAAAGAAAAAUGUUUACAAAUAUUCAAAAAUACAUACUAAAAAAAAUGCAUAUGAUGACACCCUCUUUCUGUUCUUAAAGGUGAAAAAUAAAAGAAUAAAACUGAAAAUCUUUAGAUAUAAUCUGAAUUUGGGGAUUUAAUUUUUUUAAGUCAGUAACUGUGGGCAAGAGUGUGUCCCUGGCCUGGGGGGUGCCACUGUGCUGGAUCCCUGGAAAAGGUUUUCAGUACUUUGAAUAAUCCCCUUUUGCCGCUUUUCCCUCCCCCACAACCAUCAAUUUUUUUUUUUUUUUAUGUCAGUAACCCUGGACAAGACUCUAAAUGUUUGUUUAUGAAGAUUGGAGAAUGGAUUACAUCAAAAUUUUCUACCUGAAAACUAAUUACCCACACAUCCAAACCACUCACACUAAUCUAAUCGCCCAUGCUAAUCUAAUUACCUACACUAAUUACCUAACACUGAUUGGAAACACCCUAAAUGCAAUCAAGGAAGAAGUGGGUGUGGUCUUCAGGGACUCAAUAAAAGUGCACUCCAGGAGACCAGCUCAUUCUUCUCCCGAGUAGAGUUUGAAGCUCUCCUGGCUGAAUGACUUCAAAAUCGAUCCCCUCCACACCUUGAGUGCCUGAUCCUGAAGCUUAAUUCAUAGUUUCAAUUCUGUAGCAAGAACUGCUGAAACCAUAGAGUAAUUCUUAAGGUACGUAUACAAUUGCCACAUGAGCUGUAGCUACUACUUUCCCAAACAAAAUCAAAUGUAAUUUCGUAUUUUAAACUUUUUUUCUUUUUUAUUUCUAUUUAUUUAUUUAUUUAUUUAUUUAUUUAUUUAUUUAUUUAUUUAUUUAUUUAUUAUUGUACUGGAGACUGAAUUCAGAGGCACUGGACCACUGAGCCACAUCCCCAUUUCUAUUUUGGAUUCUAUUUAGAGACAGGGUCUCACUGAGUUGCUUAGAGUCUUGCUUUUGCUGAGGCUGGUAAGGAACUUGCACUGCUUCUGUCUCAGGUGUGUGCUACCAUGCCCAGUGCUCCUACAUACUUUAUAAGCACUCUGAAACUAGUUCUCAGAUAAUGUAUAAUUUUUUACCUGUAGGUCCAAAAAUAUGUUUAGGAAUAUUUUAUCUCUUCCAUUCUUAGAAGCUCAACUAUAGUAGAAAUGAGAACCCAGAUUUUUAGCUAAAUAAAAACUGUAAAGAAGUCUUUGUUUUUUGGAGCAGAUUAAAAUAAUCACAUAUUUUCACAGUAUGAAAGGUGCUUGAUAAUAGUUCAGACUUGUAUAGAGAGCUACUCACUUAAAUAUUUGAUUUAUUUGCAUUCUUUAUUUACUCAGUUUGUUCUGUUUUGUCAUGUACAAAAGCAAGUUUAUUAUUCCCUGGACAGUAGUGUGCUAUUCAAUGAGAAUAUGAGUAAAAAUUGGUUCAGGUAUUUAUCUCUUUAAGGGUAGAUGAUUAAAUCCUUAUGGUUUUCUUCCCUCAGAAUAAUGGAUACAGAAAUACCACAAGUGUUCCAGAAAGAACUCACUUGCUCUGUCUGCCUGAAGUACCUUAUAUACCCAGUCACCAUAGGCUGUGGGCACAGCUUUUGUUGGCCCUGUUUCUUUGUUCCCUGGGGACAAGCCCAAAUUCUUACCUGUUGCCCUGUGUGCAGGGAGCCAUCACAGCAGGGAGAUGUCAAAAAUAAUAUUCUUCUGAAGAAUCUUACAUCUAUCGCAAGGCAGGCUCAUCUCAGGCAAUUCCUGAACUCUGAGAAAAAUAUAUGUGUGACCCACCAGCAGACAAAGAAGAUUUUCUGCGAGGAGAACAAGAACCUGCUCUGUUGGCUCUGCUGCAACCCUCAGGAGCACAGGGCUCACAACCACCCUUCAGUGGAAAGGGCUGCUGAGGAAUACCAGGUAAGUGACACCAAUAAAACACUGUGAAAGCUGAGCAGUGGAGCUAAAAGAUUACAAAAGAGCUGAGGAUCUGGAUGAUGAUGAUUGCCCUACUCUUUUCUGUAUGCUCAGUAAUUUUAUAAGCAUCAAGGAAGAAGCUAAAAACCAAAGAUGUAAGCAAUAAAUAAAAUAUGCAAGCAUGCCUGCCUUGGUGGAGCUUGAUUCCACAGAGGUAGUGAUAAAGGGGUUGGUCACUUUAAUUUUAAUUUUCAUGGUUAAGGCAUUAGAAACUGCUCAUUUUGAAAAGUGUUACUGGCUACCAAAAUGACAAAUGCAAUACAUUUGUAUACAGCAUGAGUAUUUACUAACACUACGGAAUAAAUAAGAUAAAAGGCUUUGGGGAAUUAGCAGGGUAGAGCAUCAGAAAACAAAAUUCUGAAGCCAAUUGCCACACUAUCUAAAAACUAUUCAUCUUUAUCACUAUCCCUAGGCACAUGGCUACAUUAUGCACUUUUGCAGUCUGAAAUCUCCUAAAAUUCACAAUCAUCAAUAGCAAAAGGAAAGCAAUGAUUUUUUUUUCUCACUAAAGUACUUAUCUCUUACUUAUUUGUGAUUCUCUCUAUCAUUGUGAGAUUGAAACCAAAUGUGCUUGCUUCUCUAUUGUUUGAGUUUAUAUUUCUUUUACAGGAGAAGCUCCUAAAGCAAAUAAGAUCAUUAUGGGAAAAGAUCCAAGUAAAUCAAAGAAAUAUAAAUGAAGAGAACAAAAUAAUCAGUCCAUGGAUCGUAAGUAUGAGUCUAUUUCCUUGAGACUCAGCUUGAAACAGACAUACUAGAAAUCCACCCAUUAUUCACUAUAGCACCAUGGUGUAAGGAUAUUAGGUACAUCAUUUCGUGUGGCUUGGAAUCCUAAAAGUGAAAUUUGAAUUUCUUGAUCCAACAAAUGACCAGGCAGUGUCAUAGGGAGGUUUGAGAUGAAAAUUAAUUUUCUAACCAGAGAUCAGAAUAUUGCACAUAGUGAUUUAAGUGACAGCUCUAAAUUCUAAUGGCUUGCAUGUAGAAAUUUAUAUUUCAAGGAUAAAUUGUCAAUCAAAACCUUUUCUUAAGAUAUUUCAGGCAUUCAUGAAGCAGAUAAAAGUGGUUGGAGGGAAGCAUGGGUUUGGUUCCUUGCCAUUGUUAUAAAAACUAGGGAAAGAAUGAAGAUAAAAGAAGAGCGAAUUUCUAAUUUCUGAAAUGUGGAUGCAUAUAAAAUUGUGGCAUAUGUAACAUACUGGUAAAAAGCCAAUGGUCAAAGAGAGAGGUUUAGGUGGAGGAGGAUAAAAUCAUACUGGAAUUGUGAUCUAGACAAUCUAUCCCUACAGUACUAUGUGUAUCUCAGGGAAGAGCUGAUCAGGGCUGAGUACAGGAAAAUACAUCCAGUUCUUCAUGAGGAGGAAAAUCGACAUCUAGACAUUCUUAGAAAGGAAAGCAAAAGAAUUUUAGAGGAACUUAAAAAAAGUGAAGCCAAUAUGGUUCAAAAGAAGAAAGACUUAAGAGAAAUAUAUGAGGAGCUGGUGAAAAUGUCCCAUAAAACAUAUGUGGAGCUGCUCCAGGUAAGAACUGAGUUGUGCAUGAAAGUAUUUUAUAUGAUUUGGUGUUCUCAUUUUGACCACAUUAUUUGGUAGUUUUUUAUAUUUCCUGCAUCAAUUAUGGGGUUCUUUCCUCUUUGGAUAUAAUCCACUUAAAGUUUACCUUCUAUCCUGACUAUAAAUAAGCAAGAUUUAUGAAACUUUGUGAGUAGCUAUCCUAGAAUUUUUUUUUUUAUUUUUUCUGUUGUAUCUUGCUUCUGUAAGAUCCAGAAAAAUAACAAUUUAUUCAUGAACAUUUCAUUUUUUGCCUGCCUUUUGACAAUAUGCAGACAUCUUGGAAAAGCUUGUGUUCACUUUCUUCUGUUUAAAAGUUAUGGAAUUGGGGACAGUAAACACUGUGUACUGAUAUCCUUAAUUCUCACACUUUUUAGACCCUCUGGAUUCUGAUUUAAUCACAAAUUCAGAAUCUUUAAAUAUGCUUUACUGGUACUGUCCUGAGAGAUGAAAAUGAAUUCAUAAGAAGCAUUGAUGUGAUGAUAUUUGAUGCUACAUGAUCUUUCCAAAAACAAAAUAUUAUUCAGUUUCUUAAAAAAAAUAAGCCCUUUUUUGUUUUCUUUGCAGGACUUGGGAGACCUAUUGGCAAGGUAAAUUUUGACUUUAGUGUAAACUGGGAUACCAUGGAGAGCUAUGAAAGUGUUUAAGUUGUUUCUAACAAAGUGAAGGCAUAGUUUAUGUAGAGAGUAAUCAACUGUGUGUUCAUGUGUUUGUUUGAAUAUGAUUUCCUCUUCCCCUUUAUGAGAAGUCAGCCUCUAUUUCCCCUGUUGGUCGAGGGAUAUAUGUCAUCCUGGGCUGAGUGUUGAUGUUCAUAAAUGCAACCAUGUAUGAUUUGACAUUGUAAAUCAGAAACACUGAGGUGCACGGGACAGUUUUUCCUAGUUAGCUAAUGAGAGACAUGGGUACCUCUGAGAAAUGGGUUGUUAACUGGCAAAUUAAGUAGGAAAGUUUCCUAGAAACAGUCCCCUCUCAUGUUCACAGAGGUACAUUCAUGAGAAAAAGGUUUCAAGAAACAGUUUCAGCAGAAUUGUUGUUUAGUUCCUUAAAAACUCUGAUGUCAUGUUUGUCACCAGAAGAUUCAUGUCCUCUUCCUACUUUCAGGAGUGAAUCAGUGCAGCUGCACUUGCCUCAGCCUAUAAAGCCAGCACUUCCUGCCCAGACCAUCACUGGACUGAUAGACAGGCUCAAGUGUUUCCAAGGUGAGUGUCAGCCCAGUGAUGGGAGCAUAGUGUAAUGACUUUCAAUAAUGAUUUUCUAUGGGAAACCUUUCCAUUUAUUAACCUUUAAUUUACCCAAAGGGAAUGGUCUGCCAGUUGGUAUUUAUAAUUAUAUUUAGUAAUCUGAUCACCAUGAUUAAAUAAGGAAAAAAAUAAGUGACAACUGGUAAACUAAUAAAUGUGAUUUGGGCUAUACAUACAAAACCAUUUCAAUCAAUAAGACAAUUAUAAAUUAGUUCAGUAUGUUCCAUUUUUAAAUUAAGUGCACUGAGUGAUGAAGGUUAUAUAAACAUUACCCUUAAAAUGUCUUAGAAAUUGAAUGUGUGAUAUGUAUUUUAUUAAAAAUAUACAUAUGUAUAUAUAUAAUAUACACACAAUAUACAAAAUGCAUUAAAUUUAAUAUAAUAGCAUGUAUGAACAAACAUAAAAUAACUGAAUGCACAGAGCAAUAUUUCACAAGCAUCCAAAAAAAGACAAGUUGGUAUAUGAUGAAGCAGUUUUUAGAUUUCCAUGGUAGAACUAGAUAGGAACCAUAGCAAGGAAUUAUUUCUUUGGAUUGAAUGGUAAUGCAGACCUCCAAUUUAUCAGAUGAAAUGAAAAGUAACAAGCUGGAAGUAGACUUGCCCACCCUUUUAUUACAGUGUCCUUAUAUUUAUCAGUGGUUUCAUUGUGAUUGGACUAUUUUUUCUUCUGCAGUAUUCUAGAAACCUGUGAGUGCAAUGCACUUCAGCCACAAUUACCCCUCUUCUUCUGCCCCCCUCCCCCCCACAUUAAGUCUCAGGUAGACCUCCUCAUCUAACAGCAAUUUAAAAGUUGGUUUUGAUUUGAAUAUUCUCUUCAUUCUACAGUGGAGAUAUCCUUUGAAAAUACAGUGUCCAGUGAUAACUUCAAGCUAUUUGAUGAUGUGAGAAGUUUGAGAUUUGGGCACGUCCUUCCAGACUUAUCUUUGAAUUCUGAUGGAAUUAAAUAUUUUGCUGCAUGGGGAACAGAGACUUUCAACUCUGGGAAACUGUACUGGGAAUUAGAUAUGAAGGACCCUUUGGACUGGGCUGUAGGAGUCUGUAAGGAUUCCUGGAUAAGAAGGAAUGGCACAGUGAUUGAAUCCAAAGACGUGUUUCUUCUCCUUUUUGUGAAGGAAGAUGAUGACCAUAGUCUCUUGACAACCUCCCCAAUGCUUUCUCACUAUAUAGAGAAGCCUCAGGGCCGGGUUGGUGUGUUUCUUGAUUUUGAGAGUGAAAGUGUGAGUUUUGUGAACGUUGCCAAGAGUUCUCUUAUAUGGCGGUACCCUUCUGGCUCUUUGAAUUUCCCAGUCAGGCCUUUUGUUCACACUGGCCACAAGUGAACAGGGAUAAGUCAGGAACUCUAUGCCUGGGGAAUUUACAUUUCAGGAAGCCCUUCCUAGUUGAAGUUUACAAUACUGUACUCUAGUGCUUUUUAAGUAAUUUGUACUUGAUCCAGACAUGGUGGCACAUGCCUAUUAAUUCACACAAUUUGGUUAAUUUGGGAGUCUGAUGUAGAAGGACUUCAAGUUUGAGGCCAGCCUGGGCAACUUAGCAAGACCCUGUCACAAAAAAAUUAAGAAGAAGAAGAAGAAGAACAGGGCUGGGAAUGUAGUUCUUUGGUAGAAUACCCCUGGGUAUAAUACCCAAUGAAAAAAUAAAAAUGGCAUUUUAUUGAAUAUAACUUUCUUUUUAAAUAUAAAGACAGUGUAAAUUACCAAAUUGUGUUGACUCAAUUUUUUUUUCUUUUAAUGAUGGCCAUCUUUUGUGGAACAUAUAAUGAUUGGCAAACUAUGUGUUCCAGAUGCACUACAUGCCGUGACUGCUUACAUGUUUUGUGAAUUUGUCAGAUUUAAGAUUGCAUAAUUUUAUGAUUUAAGCUGAAUGACAUUUUUUAGGAUGGAUUUUUAUAUCAUUCUCUGCAAUAAACAUUAUUUUGAUGUUUUCAUCUUUCUAUUGAUCUAAGAAAAUUUAAUUCAUUUUUCCUUGGGAAAUAAAACAAAUGAAGUUCUUUCUCACACUCAGGACAAGGACUCAUUUUUCACUGAAACCAGUAAACUUGGACCUUCCUCUUUCCCUUAUAUUUCCUAAACUAUUUUAAAGGAGUUUUAUGUUAACAGCAAAACUGAGAGGAAAUUAAAAAAAAAUUACAUGUAUUAACCGCCCCCUCUUUCUAAAUACAAGUGUGUAGCUUCACUGGUUUCAAAAAUCCCUAGUCAGAAUGAUACAUUUGUUAAAACCAAUGAACUUAUUUUAAUACACAGACUAUGCGGAUAUCACAUAUUUUAAUAUCAUAUAAUGAGGAAAGAAGUUUUUGUGUGUGUUCUUUCUUUCUAAAAAUAUAUCUCUAGUCUAUGUAUGAGAAAAUAGCUGGAAACCAAAAAUGAAGAUCAUUUUACAAAAGACCUAUGUAGUAUUCCUCAAAAUUGUGAAGGUCGAGCUAGUCAGACAGAGGAAAAUUUGAAGAAAGAAAGCUUAGAGGAAAAACAACCAUCAGGUGGGGAAUUACAACAGGAGGCUGCUACUAACUCCGUUCUAUCACCAGAGGGUGUAAUUCAACCAACAGCUCCAUCUACAGCUGAGCGGCCCUCAACUCCCGUAGUUGAUGGACGGAAUCCUGAGGCAGGACCCCAAAGAUUAGCAUGCCCUAUACUUGAGUAGGCAGGAGGGCAACGAAUUCACCAUGCUUUAUAUUUCAAAAUAGUGAAGCAAUUAAAGGAGGCUGUAACAACCUAUGGGCCACAAGCACCCUUCACUGUGAGCAUGGUCGAAUCCAUUACCAACUUAGACAUGACGCCAGCAGAUUGGGCUAACAUGUGUCUAUCUGUGUUAAAUGGAGGACAAUAUUUGUUAUGGAAGGUUGCCAAUGAGGAAUUUUGC
rnacentral:lncRNA from 1 species